UAUUAGCAGCGGGGGAUAAUGGAAUAGGACGUCGCGGUUCUAUUUUGUUGGUUUCUAGGACCGCAGUAAUGAUUAAUAGGGACAGUGGGGGGCGUCAGUAUUCAAUCGUCAGAGGUGAAAUUCUUGGAUCGAUUGAAGACUAACUACUGCGAAAGCAUUCGCCAAGGAUGUUUUCAUUAAUCAGGAACGAAAGUUAGGGGAUAGAAAAUGAUCAGAUACCGUUGUAGUCUUAACCAUAAACUAUGCCGAGGGGGGAUCGGGCGAUGUUAUUUCUUGACUCUCUCGGCACCUUACGAAAAAGAAAAGUUUUUGGGUUGGGGGGGGAGUAUGGUCGCAAGGCUGAAACUUAAAGAAAUUGACGGAAGGGCACCACAAGGGGUGGAGCCUGCGGCUUAAUUUGACUCAACACGGGGAAACUCACCAGGUCCAGACACAACUAGGAUUGACAGAUUGAGAGCUCUUUCUUGAUUUUGUGGGUGGUGGUGCAUGGCCGUUCUUAGUUGGUGGAGUGAUUUGUCUGUUUAAUUGCGAUAACGAACGAGCCCUUAUCCUGCUAAAUAGCCCGGCCCGCCCAGGCGGGUCGCCGGCUUCUUAGAGGGAUAAUCGGCUCAAGCCGAUGGAAGUUUGAGGCAAUAACAGGUCUGUGAUGCCCUUAGAUUUUGGGGCCGCACGCGCGCUCCACUGCCAGACCCAGCGAUUACUCCUGGCCGAAGGCCCG
rnacentral:rRNA from 1 species